GUGCUUGCUCUGAGAGAUCACAUCUAAAAUUAGACGAUAUAGUGAAGACUAGCAUGUUACGUGUGCAAGGAUGGCACACAGCUUCAUGGAGUGGUCCACAUUUUG
rnacentral:snRNA from 1 species